AGUUUCAUAUUUUUUGUCACAGGUUGAGAGGUCAGACUAUCAACUAAACCAUGAAGAAAUGUGGAGAUUGUUCUCUAAAGGUAUGAAAUUUGGAGAUUUUCUCCAUCGUCGUCAUGCUAUUUUCAAAUCUCUUUUUCCCCAUCUCCUUCGUGUCCUUUUGUGAAACAAUGAGGAAUGGGAAGGUCAAUAUUUCAUCUCCACUAUCUGAUGUGAAUUUCUAGAAUGCAUAUAUGGAAGGAAUAUGAAGAUUUGAAGUUGACAUCUCGAAGAAGUAGUUAAAGCUGCAGGAAAUGACCAUACUUUGGGUUUUGUUACCAGUGGAUCUGCUCCAUUGCAUGGUGCUACUCAGACAAGUGCCUCACCCUGGUCUUCAGCAUCAAUGAUAUUUCCUCCAGCCCUAGGCAUGCCUUUAAAUGCUGAAUGGAAUGGCUGCAUGAUCAAGUUGUGGAAAAGUUUACUUGCAUACCAUCUCCAAGGAUCUGGCACAUCUAAUAGUUUCACUUUGGUUCUUCAGCAGUUUCUUUCGAAAUUGCUCAUUACACUUCUGGGGUGAGUACGAACUACAGAAAGUUUUUGUUUUUGGUUAAGUUAAAAUAUGUAUUUAUCGGAAUCAUGGAAGUUCAAGUUCAUGUUUCGAGAUUCUACAAGACUAAUUUUAUUGUUUUAUCUAUUUAUUAUGAAUU